AUAGUCCAUCUAGCCUGGUUUUCAGUAGCCAACAGCAGCACCAUGUUCCCAAAUGCAGGUUUUCCAGAGUGAGACUCAUACCUUGCACUUCCAGUGUGCUGGUCCCUGCAAUUUCCCCAAAUGCAGGAAACUUUUUAAUGCAUAAUUUGUGGUAGCAGGAGACUGCAUUGAUGCUUUCCUCUA
rnacentral:snRNA from 1 species